CUCCUUCACUGACCGUGAAGUGGAAAUUCAAAUUGUAACUUCUCAGCAAUGGUAAUUCACGACCAAGAAUUGCUCUGCUCUGUGCAAGAAGGCCUAACUGCAGAGUAGGUUAAAACAGCCUAAAGCAAGAACACCAGAGACAGAACGAUUCCAUGUACAAGAGUCAUUUCCCUUAUUGAGAAGGUUAGCCCAGUUGCUGUUCCAUUUCUGCAAUUCCUGAACUGUGAAGAUCCAACCAUUACCAGCCUCCCACCACUUCAACUCAGACUUAAGAGGAAAAUGAAGUUAUUUGAGAAGACAACAAACACGGGAGAGUAAAGAAGGUCAGAUGUUCAUCUUUGCCUCUUGUUGCAUUGUAAAACAGAGAAACAACCAAGCAACCUACUACACAAACAGGAAUGGAAUGAAAAUGUAAUCUGCACGGGUAGAAGUUUUGUGGCAGCAAACCCAUGAUCACACAUUGCAGCUCUCAAGCUUUCAGUACUCAUGCCAUUCAUACCUCUGCCAGUUCUUGUUCAUUCACGCUGCCUGUAGCACUGGCUUUCUUUCCUGAAGUUUCAUUGUCAGAUCCGCUGGCGUCCCCUCUAGCAUAGCUAUGGACUGUAAGCACCCCGGCUGGCCCAGGUAGAGUUCUUUUUGGCAACAGAUCAGUUGACUCAGAGUCUGAAGACCCAGAAUAUGCUGGUGAGCUGGGCUGAACACUGGAAGGUGCUCUCUGCUUUGAGGUUGGCAAAACUGAAGCAGAAUUUGAAGCAUGCGAAAUGGAAAGAUCCAACACGGCGGCCUCUUGCUCUUCCUCUUCUUCCUCCUCAAGCUUCACCACUUUCAGUUCUUCAGAUUUAGCCAUGCCCACACGAUCUAGAAGAUAGGAUAUAUUGACUUUUUCUCAAGUCUGGGAAGCAGAGAGAACAGCCCAGCACCGCUUGCACAAAGUCAAAUAGGAAAGCAGACUAGACAAAAAAAGAUACGUGAUGCUAAAUCAUGUAAACAGUAGAUCAUUAAUUCAAACAUCAAUAGAGAAUAACCUAUGUAUCCGCUCACUGCAGCUUACAGUACAGGAACUAGGGUAUUUCCAACAAUGGUCAGAAGGUGGGCUCAAAACAAACAGAAAUAGAUGGUCUCUUACAUGAUGUAACUGAACACUGCAACUCCUGGCCACCUGAGGCUGGGGGUGAGAGCUUACAAGGGCUCAAGGGAGACUUAAUAGAGAAAACAAAACAAACAAAAAAAACCAACACCAAACCAACAUAGGAUUAUUAAAUACAAGUUGCAAAUUGAGGGAAAACAGAAUAUGAGAGAGAAGCAUCAUUAUGUAUUUGCCCUCUUCUUAUAUUGUUCCAUAGGCACCCCGAUCCUUCCUAUCCAAGAGGGUGUAACUGUCCUACUACAAGCCAUAUUAAUUUUCUUCUGACAUACUAAUUACAUAAUUACCCAUCUGUACAGCAUACCAGGGCCAUACUACCAGGCAGUAUGUAUGAACAGGUCACAUUGUACAACAGUGAUAUAUAGAGGACUGUACACUACUGACAUGUCCAAUACAUUUCUAUAUGCUGGCAGAAAUAAAUAAAUAAAGCUAUGAACACCAAUCUCUUAAGCAA